AAGGGUAUUUGGAAUAUUAUGGGUAUAUAUAUGCAUGGGAAUAGAACUUUUAAAAGUAUAUUUUCAUUGAUUAUAGAUUUAUUAUCCUUGUAGACUUAUUAUUUUGUAGUAAUUAACAGGGUAAAAAGGGUAUAAAGGGGUGUAAGUAAAUGAGUUUUACUUCUGCCUACUCCUUUUUGCAUGUG